AGCCGCUGAUGAAAUUGAUUCUGCCAAAUGAAUUCCUGUGAUAUUAACCAUUUCCGUUCAACAUUUUCUGAGGUU